ensembl:snoRNA SNORD33 Small nucleolar RNA Z195/SNORD33/SNORD32 family
UAGGUCUGUGAUGAUGACAUUCCACCAUAUUUCGAGUUUCAAGACCAUGAGACAACGUUUCAUGCACUACCAUCUGAGACCUG